rnacentral:rRNA from 1 species
AGCGAACGCUGGCGGCAGGCUUAACACAUGCAAGUCGAGCGGGCACUUUCGGGUGUCAGCGGCGGACGGGUGAGUAACGCGUGGGAACGUGCCCUCUGGUUCGGAAUAACUCAGGGAAACUUGAGCUAAUACCGGAUACGCCCUUUUGGGGAAAGGCUUGCUGCCGGAGGAUCGGCCCGCGUCUGAUUGGCUAGUUGGUGAGGUAACGGCUCACCAAGGCGACGAUCAGUAGCUGGUCGGAGAGGAUGAUCAGCCACACUGGGACUGAGACACGGCCCAGACUCGUACGGGAGGCAGCAGUGGGGAAUAGUGGAGAAGGGGCGCAAGCCUGAUCCAGCCAUGCCGGGUGAGUGAUGAAGGCCUUAGGGUUGUAAAGCUCUUUUAUCCGGGACGAUAAUGACGGUACCGGAGGAAUAAGCCCCGGCUAACUUCGUG